ACCUGAUCCAUGGGUUAAAAGCAGCUUAGCGCCGGUGAGACUUCCUGCAGUGUGUUUGUCUCCUGAAGGAGCGAAGUGGAAUCAGGAUUAGGAACGCAUCGAUGACGCGCGGCGUCGGCUUGCUCCGGCGUCCAUCGAACGGCGGUUAUUUGAGGGCGGGCCGCAGAAAGCCGCAUCGACGUUUACGCCACUGGAAGUUGAUUUCCAUUAGACACGAGCAGGAAGACAUCAGCUCCACUGAUUCUACUCAUAACCAUAAAGGCUCGUUAGGACACAAAAACCUGGUUCAAGAGAAGAAACACCCAGACGUACUGUGGAGAAACACGACACCAUGAGGAAAGAUAACAGAAGUGAGGAAACCGCCGUURGAUCAGGGAACGGAGCUUGUAGACACACGCAGCCAUCUCUAAAACGGCCGUUAUAGCAGCUAAAAUCUGCGACUAUGACAGAAAUCACUCUUUUUAACGUCUAAGCAUGUGAUUGCGAAAUCAGUGCCGAAUUAACUUGUCACUUUACGUUUUUUGGGGGGGUCAGUUUUCACCAGCUUCA